rnacentral:rRNA from 1 species
CUGGCGGCGUGCUUACCAUGCAAGUCGAACGCCGGAAACUCUUUCGGGAGUGCGAGGAGUGGCGAACGGGUGAGUAACGCGUGAGCAACCUACCCUUUAGUGGGCGACAACACUGGGAAACCGGUGCUAAUACCGCAUAAGCCCAGGGUACCGCAUGGUACAGGGGGAAAAGGAUUUAUUCGCUAAAGGAGGGGCUCGCGUCCCAUUAGGUAGAUGGUGAGGUAAGGGCUCACCAUGCCGACGAUGGGUAGCCGGACUGAGAGGUUGAACGGCCACACUGGAACUGAGACACGGUCCAGACUCCUACGGGAGGCAGCAGUGGGGAAUAUUGGGCAAUGGGCGAAAGCCUGACCCAGCAACGCCGCGUGAAGGAAGAAGGUUUUCGGAUUGUAAACUUCUGUCCCAAGGGAAGAAGGAAGUGACGGUACCUUGGGAGGAAGCCCCGGCUAACUACGUGCCAGCAGCCGCGGUAAUACGUAGGGGGCGAGCGUUGUCCGGAAUUACUGGGCGUAAAGGGUGCGUAGGCGGCCUUUUAAGUCAGAUGUGAAAAGCCCGUGCUUAACAUGGGAGGUGCAUUUGAAACUGGAAGGCUUGAGUGUGGGAGAGGCAAGCGGAAUUCCCGGUGUAGCGGUGAAAUGCUUAGAGAUCGGGAGGAACACCAGUGGCGAAGGCGGCUUGCCGGACCAAGACUGACGCUGAAGCACGAAAGCGUGGGGAGCAAACAGGAUUAGAUACCCUGGUAGUCCACGCUGUAAACGAUGGAUACUAGGUGUAGGGGGUUACUGCCUUCUGUGCCGGAGCAAACGCAAUAAGUAUCCCGCCUGGGGAGUACGAUCGCAAGAUUGAAACUCAAAGGAAUUGACGGGGGCCCGCACAAGCAGCGGAGCAUGUGGUUUAAUUCGAAGCAACGCGAAGAACCUUACCAAGGCUUGACAUCCCCUGAAGCUGCUGGAAACAGCAGUGUCUCUUCGGAGCAGGGAGACAGGUGGUGCAUGGUUGUCGUCAGCUCGUGUCGUGAGAUGUUGGGUUAAGUCCCGCAACGAGCGCAACCCCUACGUUUAGUUACCAGCGGGUGAAGCCGGGGACUCUAGACGGACUGCCGGGGACAACUCGGAGGAAGGUGGGGACGACGUCAAAUCAUCAUGCCCCUUACGUCUUGGGCUACACACGUGCUACAAUGGCCGUAACAAAGGGAAGCGAAGUUGUAAGAUGGAGCGAAACCCAGAAAAGCGGUCCCAGUUCGGAUUGUGGGCUGCAACCCGCCCACAUGAAGUCGGAGUUGCUAGUAAUCGCGAAUCAGCAUGUCGCGGUGAAUGCGUUCCCGGGCCUUGUACACACCGCCCGUCACACCACGGGAGUUGGGAGCGCCCGAAGCCGGUGAGUCAACCGCAAGGAGACAGCCGUCGAAGGUGAGAUNCAAGA